CGGCUCUCCCUCCCCGGGAUCCUCUCCCCGGAUCCCCUCCCCGGCUCUCCCUCCCCGGUUUCCGCUCCCGGAUCCCCUCCCCCGCGCUCCCUCCCCGGGAUCCUCUCCCCGGAUCCCCUCCCCGGCUCUCCCUCCCCGGUUUCCGCUCCCGGAUCCCCUCCCCGGCGCUCCCUCCCCGGGAUCCUCUCCCGGGUUUCCCUUCCCGGCGCUCCCUCCCCGGGCCUCGUCCCCGGCGCCUUCCCGCCGGAGCGAGCCCCCUCGCGCUCCUGGUCCCCCGCGCGCAGCCUACCUGGAUCUCGUGGAUGCGGCUGAAGCCGUCCUUCCAGAAGAACUCCACCAGACCCAUCAGUAAAAAGACAGAACAGCAAGAAAAUCAGCCAAAGUUAUUCCAGAACCGAGAGCUCUCAAAUCCUCCUUCCUGUGAAUAAGAAGGUGCUAUUUCAGCCACUGCUGACACCCAGCCACAACAAUCCCUGUUAGUUCAAGCAAAGAGGAAAAGCUACCUCUUCCUACAAAGGGCUCUCUCCCCUUGCUGGCUACUCCCAGGCAGAGUGGGAACUACCAAGAAAAAGCCUUUGGAGGCAACCAAACAGAUCCAGCGGAGGACUGAGGUCACAGGCAAACUGCUGUCCCAUAAAUUGGUGAAACCAACGGAUGGAUACAGAGAAACACAGCUUACCAAAGAUGAAGCCCAAGAGCAGUGGGAACCACUGUGGGAACCAGUAGCAGGGAAACUUAAACCGUAAUUGAUGAAUUGUUGGAGGCUCGAUCUGGAAAAGCUUGUAAAAAUACCAGGGGUUUCAGCCUUAGGGAGGACCCACACUUUCCUGAGUUUCACCUCCAGGAGCUCUACCAGGUUCUUUCAAUGAAGAUCAGAGAAAAAUCCCCCCAUCCUGCCAGAAAGGGGAGAGAAAAUACACCAAACGGCUCUGUUCUUCUUAACAAGGCUUUCAAGAGAAACUAUUUUACCAGAGCCUGACUGAGGUUUUACUAGAGCCUAGCCAAGCUCGAGGAAGGGAAAUUCCCAACUGCAGCCCCACUCUGGGCUUCCUGCCCUAUAUAAGUGGGGGGAAAUCUGAGAAGCACUUCAGAAGGUCACAGAACAGGGGCGUGGUCUCACUAAAAGACUAGACCUAAUCAUAAGAUUAGAGAAUCCCCUUCCCCAAAUCUGACCAGCACAUGGAUAGGUUUCCUGUGUGAUAAAGGAGACAAACCCAAGAAAACCAGAGGAAAUUUAGCCUCUGACACUUACAGCUACAAAAAUAGUAAACACAGCCUAAAUCUUGGCCAGAUAAAAAUAAAGCCUCACACUGAUGGCCUUUUUAAUUCAGUUCCUUUUACCCAGUAUAUCACGUUAGCCUUUCAACAAAAAAUUACAAGGCAUCCUAAAAAACAACACUUUGAAGAGACAGAGCAAGCAUCAGAACCAGACUCAGACAUGGCAGAGAUGUGGGUAUUAUCAGACUAUGAAUUUAAAAUAACUAUGAUUAAUAUGAUAAGUGAAAAAAGUACACAACAUGAAAGAAUAGGUGGACAAUGUAAGCAGAGAGAUGGAAACACUAAGAAAGAACUGAAAGGAAAUGCUAGAAAUACAAAACAGACUAUAAAGAAAUGAAGAAUGCCUUUGAUGGGCUUAUCAAUAGACUGGACACAACCCUGGAAAGAAUCAGUGAACUUUAGGAAAUGACAACAGAAAUUUCUGAGAUUGAAAUACAAAGAGAAAUAAGAAUGAAAAAGACAAUAGAAUACCCAAGAACUAUGGGUAUUACAUAUGUAUAUAGGGAUACAAAAAAAAAGAAGAAAGGAACAAAAUAAAUAUUUGAAGUGAUAAUGACAGAACUUUCCAAAAGUAAUGACAGACACCAAACUACUCAUCCGAAAGCUCAGAAAAUACCAAGCAGUAU